CUAUCAUCACAGACUGCAGUCAAAGACUUUCACCAUGACUGUUAUAACCAGCCUGCUUCUGAUUACAGUGUUCUUUACAAGUGUUGAAUGUCAGACACUGACUGAGUCUGAACCAGCAGUUAAAAAGCCUGGAGAAUCCCACACACUGACCUGUACAGCCUCUGGGUUCACAUUCAGCGGCUACUAUAUGAACUGGGUCAGACAGGCUCCUGGGAAGGGACUGGAGUGGGUGGCCGCGAUCAGUAAUGGUGGUGGUGGCAGCACAUGGUAUGGCACGGCUGUUCAGGGAAGAUUCACCAUCUCCAGAGACGACUCCAACAACAAGCUGUAUUUACAGAUGAACAGCCUGACAGCAGAAGACACUGCCGUGUAUUACUGUGCCAGAGACAGUCACCUGCUAAUCUGCAGGCUGUAA